rnacentral:rRNA from 1 species
UACAGAGGGUGCAAGCGUUAAUCGGAAUUACUGGGCGUAAAGGGCGCGUAGGUGGAUAUAUAAGUCGGAUGUGAAAGACCUGGGCUUAACCCGGGAAAGUCAUUUGAUACUGUAUAUCUUGAGUGAGGCAGAGGGUAGCGGAAUUUCCGGUGUAGCGGUGAAAUGCGUAGAUAUCGGAAGGAACACCAGUGGCGAAGGCGGCUACCUGGGCUUUAACUGACACUGAUGCGCGAAAGCGUGGGGAGCGAACAGG